CAAAGAAUAGUUUAAUUUAGAAUCCUAGCUUUGGGAGUUGGGGGUAGGAGUUAGAAUCUCCNUUCNUUGA
rnacentral:tRNA from 1 species